UUCCACACACCAAAUGCAUCAUUUAUUGUGUUAUAAAAUUCCAUCAUUAUUACCGAUCAUUCCUACAGCAAGUGGCAAAAUACUUAGUGGUUGAUAUCCGAUACCCAAGUUCAAACUCUAAUUGAUUCAUAUUUUUAGCUAAAUUUAUUUCUAAAUAAAAUAAACGAAGCAAGUAGCGUGCUACCUAUCUCUCAAAAAAAAAAAAAAUUUCCAUUAUUAUUU
rnacentral:lncRNA from 1 species